CAUGGAAGAGUGUGUUGAGGACACGGACAUAACAUCAGCUGCAAGUGUGCCAGCUGCUGGCAAACAGGACACUGUGACUGUGAAAUACAAAGCAGCAAGCGAGUUGUCAAAUUUUCUGCUAAAGCUCUUGCUGCCAGGUUAGACAGGUUGCAAAAUGGUAGGAAAUCUAAGCUAAAUAAGGCUGUCAAUUUAAGAAAAACGAUAGGCUACAAGGUUUAAUACAAAAUGGGAAACAUUCUGAUGUGCAAAAUGCGCUUGAUGAUCACACUGAAUUGUGUGAUGAAGCAAGAUGUAUAUGAUUCAAUAAUGGGUUUAUUGCCACGGGAUGAGAAAGAAAGACAUGAAACAUGGUUUAAGGCAAAAAUGAUGUUCAAUGAUGAAUUUAUUGCCAGUACACAAUCCGUGUAUCAUUCGUUCAUUCGCUUCAUGGAAGCUAAGGCUUUGGCUAACAACCGCUGCAUGUGGAGGCUGCAAAUUUGGAGAAAUUGUUCAAUAUGAGAACAAAAUGAAUGCAUCAAUGUUCUAUGGGAAGCGACCAGGUGGACUUCAAACCAGGGUUCCACCAGUCGAAAGUGACGACAGCUGUCUUGACAGUGGGGAUAGUGAUGAAGACUACACUCCUACACCACGUCGGCACUAUCCACUAAGCUACCGACGCCCCUAUUGCUGCCGGUUUCAUCACCUGGUCAGGAGUGUAGUCUGUACACAGCAUGCACAGACCCUAUGCACAGAGGCACUGCCUCGCCGCAGCGGUCGCAGGCUCGAUCCCAGCCUGCGGCCCGUGUCAUUCCCCCAUUCUCUAUUUCCCCACUUCAUGCUGCCCUAAAGCAACAGGCCAAAUAGAUAAUCUCAUUAAAAAAAAACAGCAGUAAUAAUGCUAUAAUUUCGUGUAGAGUUUCAGCUUUUUGCGGUUUACACAUGGCCAUAUGUUUGUUAAUGUAACCAUGUGUACAAGAUGUGUAUAUAAUAUAGAUAAAAAUGUCUGCACUCUUAUACAGUGAUUUCUUUUUUCUACACCAGGUGAUGAAAGCAGCAGUAGUACUGACAACAGGAGCAGCAGUGAUGAAGACUCUGAUGGAAAUCACGAUGCUCUUCCUAGUACCAGUGUUCUAAGUGAAAAGCUUGAGCUCUGUUUCACAUUGGAUUAUAAUAGUUGGUGUUAUAGUCAGGACAUUGAAAAUAAUUGUGUGGCAUCAAUAAAAUCUACAUACCU